rnacentral:rRNA from 1 species
UACGAAGGGGGCUAGCGUUGCUCGGAAUCACUGGGCGUAAAGGGUGCGUAGGCGGGUCUUUAAGUCAGGGGUGAAAUCCUGGAGCUCAACUCCAGAACUGCCUUUGAUACUGAAGAUCUUGAGUUCGGGAGAGGUGAGUGGAACUGCGAGUGUAGAGGUGAAAUUCGUAGAUAUUCGCAAGAACACCAGUGGCGAGGGCGGCUCACUGGCCCGAUACUGACGCUGAGGCACGAAGGCCAGGGGAGCAAACGGG